AAGGACCCGUCUCACAGAAGGCCCCCAGUCCCAGGGAUGCUACAAUCUGGCGAUGGAUGACACCGUUAGUUAUGCUGUCUUGCGCUUUCCAGAGAGUGACACGCACGGCGCUGGGUACAGUUUGGUAGCUGUAACUCCCGAGGGGCAUGGGAGGAAAACCUUGUGUCCCAGUCUGCCCUCUUUGUGCCAGGCCUGUGCCAGGCCCCACUGUCCACUCAUUCCCUCAUUCUUGCUGCAUGGUGAGGUAACAGGCCUCAGAAGGGACCCGUGUCUUUAACUCAGAAGCUGGUGUCCCGAGGCAGGCUGCAUCGAGAGUUGACUGUGUUGUAGUACAUUCGCACAGCCAUUUUCACUAGCUGCUACUAUGGUGCUGUGCACAUAAGAGAAGAGGUGUUUUCCCCUAAGGGGCUGGGGUUGCGGGAAAACUCACGGGUAGCCAUCUCCUUUCUCUCAGAGGUGCAAGGAGCCCAGCAACACAGGGUCCUCCUCCAAACGACGAUGACACAGUCACUUACUCGGUGCUACAGAAGCGGAAUAUGGGUGACUAUGAGAAUGUGAGUCCAAACUGCCCCGAGGAUGAGAGCAUCCAUUACUCAGAGCUGGUUCAGUUUGGGGCUGGGAAGCGGCCCCAGGCAAAGGAAGACGUAGACUAUGUGACCCUCAAGCACUGAGGUGGGUAGUAGCUGCAGUGGCAGGUUCUGGAGCCUAAAGAAGACUACAACGUCUUCAGCUGCUGCGGCUCAGCUGCUAAGAGACAGGCAGCUCCCCACAUGGUCAUCUAAAAACCUGCGCAUGCCCACACGGUCAUCUAAAAACCUGCGCAUGCCCACACGGUCAUCUAAAAACCUGCGCCCGGCCAGACCUAGCGGCUGGCCCAACACUGUGUAGCACCUGUUUCUCCAACCCCAGGCACCACCGCCAUCUUCUUCAUUCCAAGCCUCCUCAUCUGGACGACGUGUUCCUGCUGUGAUCCGCUGGGACCCUCAUUAACAUUUCUUCUUCUCUGACCCCUUGAUACUCCACCCCACUCAUUAAUCUUACUACCCACUUCCUGGCCCUGGGGAGAAAUCCCCCAGGAAGUGCAGAAAUAUGGAAGCAAGAGGCACUGUCCCCAGCUGGUUUUUCUCCUACAAAGAUGUCUCUGAGUAAGUCGAACCUUCUGUGGAGAUCAUGCCUUCCCUCAGGGGUACUGGACGCUGAGCAGACAGAACGGCAUAGAAAUAUAUAUAUAUAUAUAUAUAUAUAUAUAUAUAUAUAUAUAUAUAUAUUUUUUUUUUCACUAAAUGCUUCGUAUUAAAAAUGGCACGGCUGCCACACGAACUCUUUUGUGUUGGUGAUUGGUGUGAUUAUACCGGAAACCUGGAGGUGGGAAUGGCUUCUUGAAGCCUAUAGGGAGUGGAAGAGACUCUGGGUAAUCUCAUGAUCUAAUCAGCUCAUAGGGGCACCAUUGUCUUGCGGUGUUGGUAUUCAACUUAGGGCUUCACGAAUGCCAGGCGUGACGGUUUGACCAUGCUUGGCCUAGAGAGUGGCACUACUAGGAGGUGUGGCCCUGUUGGAGUAGGGUUGCCAUUGUGGGCGUGGGCUUUAGCCAGUCUUUUCCUAGCAGCCUUCAGAUGAAGAGGUAGAACUCUCAGUUCCUCCUGCAUCAUGCCUGCCUGGAUGCUGCCAUGCUCCUGCCUUGAUAAUGGACUGAACCUCUGAAACUGUAGGCCAGCCCCAAUUAAAUGUUGUCCUUAUAAGAGUUGUCUUGGUCAUGGCGUCUGUUCACAGCAGUAAAACCCUAAGUAAGACACGGAGUAAGUACUCUGGAGCCACAUCUUCCUCACUUGAGGUAGGCAGAUGCUCUGCCCCUCACUGGGGGAUUCUACUUCUACUACUGAGC
rnacentral:lncRNA from 1 species